rnacentral:rRNA from 1 species
UACAGAGGGUGCGAGCGUUUAAUCGGAAUUACUGGGCGUAAAGCGUGCGUAGACGGCUAUCUAAGUCGGGUGUGAAAGCCCCGGGCUCAACCUGGGAAUUGCAUUCGAGACUGAAUAGCUAGGGUACGGUAGAGGGAAGUGGAAUUUCCGGUGUAGCGGUGAAAUGCGUAGAUAUCGGAAGGAACAUCAGUGGCGAAAGCGACUUCCUGGACCAGUACCGACGUUCAGGCACGAAAGCGUGGGGAGCAAACAGGA